AUUGAACGCUGGCGGCAGGCUUAACACAUGCAAGUCGAGCGAGCGGCGGACGGGUGAGUAAUGUCUGGGAAACUGCCUGAUGGCGGGGGAUAACUCCUGGAAACGGUAGCUAAUACCGCAUACCAUCAGAUGUGCCCAGAUGGGAUUAGCUAUUAGGUGGGGUAAUGGCUCACCUAGGCGACGAUCCCUAGCUGGUCUGAGAGGAUGACCAGCCACACUGGAACUGAGACACGGUCCAGACUCCUACGGGAGGCAGCAGUGGGGAAUAUUGCACAAUGGGCGCAAGCCUGAUGCAGCCAUGCCGCGUGUGUGAAGAAGGCCUUCGGGUUGUAAAGCACUGUUAGCGAGGAGGCGUUACUCGAAGAAGAAGCACCGGCUAACUCCGUGCCAGCCGCCGCGGUAAUAC
rnacentral:rRNA from 1 species